rnacentral:rRNA from 1 species
CAAAGUUGAUCCUGGCUCAGGAUGAACGCUAGCUACAGGCUUAACACAUGCAAGUCGAGGGGCAGCAUGAACUUAGCUUGCUAAGUUUGAUGGCGACCGGCGCACGGGUGAGUAACACGUAUCCAACCUGCCGAUGACUCGGGGAUAGCCUUUCGAAAGAAAGAUUAAUACCCGAUGGCAUAGUUCUUCCGCAUGGUAGAACUAUUAAAGAAUUUCGGUCAUCGAUGGGGAUGCGUUCCAUUAGGUUGUUGGG